rnacentral:rRNA from 1 species
ACGCUGGCGGCGUGCUUAACACAUGCAAGUCGAACGCUGAAGACCUGGCUUUUGUUGGGUUGGAUGAGUGGCGAACGGGUGAGUAACACGUGAGUAACCUGCCCCCUUCUUUGGGAUAACGCCCGGAAACGGGUGCUAAUACUGGAUAUUCACUGGCCUUCGCAUGGGGGUUGGUGGAAAGGUUUGUUCUGGUGGGGGAUGGGCUCGCGACCUAUCAGCUUGUUGGUGGGGUGAUGGCCUACCAAGGCUUUGACGGGUAGCCGGCCUGAGAGGGUGACCGGUCACAUUGGGACUGAGAUACGGCCCAGACUCCUACGGGAGGCAGCAGUGGGGAAUAUUGCACAAUGGGCGGAAGCCUGAUGCAGCGACGCCGCGUGAGGGAUGGAGGCCUUCGGGUUGUAAACCUCUUUCGCUCAUGGUCAAGCCGCAACUGUGGGUUGUGGUGAGGGUAGUGGGUAAAGAAGCGCCGGCUAACUACGUGCCAGCAGCCGCGGUAAUACGUAGGGCGCGAGCGUUGUCCGGAAUUAUUGGGCGUAAAGGGCUUGUAGGCGGUUGGUCGCGUCUGCCGUGAAAUCCUCUGGCUUAACUGGGGGCGUGCGGUGGGUACGGGCUGACUUGAGUGCGGUAGGGGAGACUGGAACUCCUGGUGUAGCGGUGGAAUGCGCAGAUAUCAGGAAGAACACCGGUGGCGAAGGCGGGUCUCUGGGCCGUUACUGACGCUGAGGAGCGAAAGCGUGGGGAGCGAACAGGAUUAGAUACCCUGGUAGUCCACGCUGUAAACGUUGAGCACUAGAUGUGGGGGCCACCCGUGGUUUCUGCGCCGUAGCUAACGCUUUAAGUGCCCCGCCUGGGGAGUACGGCCGCAAGGCUAAAACUCAAAGGAAUUGACGGGGGCCCGCACAAGCGGCG